CCUUCACCUCGCGACGCCUCCCGCGCCGCGCACCCGGCACGGCCCCGCCCCUGCCCUCGUCUCCCGGGAGCCUGGGAAGGCGCGAGCUAUCCAGUCGGAGGGAGGGGGACGAGCGCGCGGGGCCGCGUCCUCGCUCGCGUCCCCGCUCCCUCCUCCCCUCUGCUUCUCCCUCCCCUCCACUCCCCCAUUGGCUUCUACCCCUCCCCCUUCUUCCUCCGCCUCUCCCACCAUUGGUUCCCUCCCCUACUCCAUUCCUUCUCACCUUUUCCCUUUUACCCAUUGGCGUGAGUAUUUUUCCUCAGCUUCCCUCUUUCUCCGUAUUCUGCUCCUCCUCAGUCCCAUCCUCCACGCUUUGGAAGCUACUGCCUUACUGCCCGGAGCGCCGUCGUCCCCGAACCUCCCCUGCUUCUCCCUUUCCUUCUGUUCCGGUUUCUGGUCGUAACUCAAGAGCAAACCACCGUACUGCAAAGGAACCAGAUAUUGUGCUCGCGGUUCCAAACCGGGCAUGGGCACCGAAUGCUUCUCGAUAAAUCCCCUUAUGGUCUCUGAGCAUUAAAGAAAGCAAGGGAGGAAAACAUGCGCCCAAGCUCGUUCGCAGGAACAUGUUCGCGUGUCUGCGCCUGUGUGCGCAGCCAGUUUUCUGGCUGAGGAUCGCUCGCCAACUACAGACAUCACCCGCCCAGGACCCGGUGCCACACUCACCCAGAAGACGAAACUCCACAGGAGCGAGAAGAGGAGUCCAUUUCUCCGUCGGCUCGGCACGGCACGGGGAUGCAGGCCCCUGAUUCAGUACGUUCUGUGAAAGUGGAGCGAGAAGCCAAGACGUGGAUCGAGAAGCCCCGUGGGGCGGGUCUCAGGGUGGCCCAAAAGACCCCUGUUCACGCCACUACCAGCCUAACUUUAGGAACUGUCGUCCACCUGGCUUUUAUUAUACUGCCUUAAACAUAUUCACUUUUUUGAGACUCUAGAAAUUUCACAAGUUUUGGGGUAGAGCACACUGGGCUUUGGGUGUGUUUCUCAUGAGGGCACUGACGCUGAAUGGUGCAGUGAGAAAGGACGGUAGAAACCACUGCCUUUGCUUUUACCAUUGAAGAAACUGAGGUCCUGUGACUUUCCCGAGGUCAUCGGAAUCUGCCUUGCACAGGAGACUUAAAAUAGUUGCCAGCAGAUAAAAGAAUGAGCAAAACCACAUCUACUCCAAUUUGUUAAGUCUGAAAGAAAGUAAUUGAGGGGGGAUUCCUCUUUGGGGAAAUAUUUAUUUCCUGCAUUGAAAAUAGUUUAAUGUUAGUAAACAUAUAAAAAGUAUUUUAAAUUCAAGUUAUUCUUUAUUUCUUAUGUUACAUAAGGUACUGAAGUUAGCCAAGGUUGCUUUUGUGUUAUAAUGAUGCAGCUGCUGCCAACCAGAAGUACAUUUACGGUCUGUCAGUAAAGAAAACAAAAACUGCCUGUUGGUAAAAAUCUAUUAGAAAAUAUUUGUCAGUAAAUUUGUCACAAUAUUCCAGCAGAAGUUCUGUUCGUUUUUCCGUCUUCCUGCCCUUCAUAUUUCUCAAAGGUAGACUUAAUAAAGGUAGAAGAGACAUUUCUAAUUUUUCUAUAUAUCUCUUGCUCCCUAAUUUCUAAAAGGCAUAACUAAAAUGCUUUAUUCGAGCCACUCCCUUGCAUCUGAACCCUACCUACCAAGUAGGUUAAGAGUAGGUUAGGUAAGGUCUGUAGCUACUUCUUUCUUUCAGUUACAAAUUGUAGGUGGGAAAGAAGGAUGCGGAAGGAAACUUGCAAGGAAAGCAAACAGAAAGAAAAAGAAGUAAAAAAGGAGAGAAGGGAAUUUGGUGGGUGGUCCAACCAUCAAAAUGUGGUACUAAUGCCAUAGGUAUCUACACCACUUAUGUAAGUUGGAAUGUUGAUGCAUUCCAACGCAUGUUUUUAUCUUUGUACUGAAAGCCCUUAAGAAUACCCGAAGUAAACAUAUAAAAAGUAUUUUAAGUUCAAGUUAUUCUUUAUUUCUUAUGUUACGUAAGGUACUGAAGUUAGCCAAGGUUGCUUUUUAGUGUUAUAAUGAUGCAGUUCAAAGUCAUAACCUGAAUAAGAUGUUAAGUACUAUAGAGUGUACACCCUAAAGAUACCUUAAAAAUUAUGUCCUAAAUAAUCAGAAAUUUUAAUAAUCAUGGACAUGUAUCAACAUAAACCGCAUCAAAGAGCAGGAGGAAAAAUAUGUAAGAUGGCAUCUUUAAAAAUUGAUCAGGAGCCAAGACUUCAGAGAAAAAGCUUUAAAACACCCACCCUCCCUACUCAAAAGGAUAAUUUUUAAGAAAAUAGGUAACUUAUUUACACACACACACAUGCGCGCGCACAAAUAUCGGACAGAAAUGGAAAUGGAAUAAAUAUUAACAAGCCCUCUCAAAUCAACUACUCUUCUUAUCUAGAAUAAAAAAGUUAAGCCUCUCUUCUGCUGUACUGGAUAAUUAAAAUAACUGGACUCUUUGUUCCUCGUUUACUUUGAAAAAAUUAGAAUAAGAUUUGUCAGGCAUUUUCGGUUUUUAAUUUAAAUUUUCUUCAUAAAUCUCUAGUUCUUCAUCACAUCCUAAUAAAGUAUUAAUAUGCAUGGUCUUUUUGAGAUCAAAAGACAUGACAGUCAUAAAAAAAGUUAUCAUAAUUCCAGCUUCUACCAUUAGUGGUAAUACUGCAAUAUUCAAAUGUUUCAUAUGUUGUGGCUUCAAAAGAACUUACCCUAUAGAGGCAGCUACACCCCCUGCUGGAAAUCUUUGAUCAUAACAACUUUGGCUUCUGUAGUCUCAAUCAGGAACAUAUGAAAAGCCAAAUAAAGGGCCUUACCACUCAUGACAGAAUUGACCAAUACUUUAGCCUGUCUGAUACAAGACAGGCUUUUGGAGAACAACCUAUGUCAGAAUAUCACCUUGAUUACAGACAAAAUACACAAAGAGGAUGGAGAAUAAUGAUGUAAAUAGCUAAAUAGCCAAAACACUUGUAAGAUAUUUGCUUAAUUUCCAACUGUAUUUCCACUCUUUACCUUAUCCCCAUCUCCUGCCUAGACUUCUCUUUUUCUCUCUAUCUCAUACAAUUAGGCCUACUUGAGGGGAGGAAGAAGGCAGGAUAAGAUGGGAUAUUAAUCCUUCAGCUAGGCAAAUAAUGGUGUAUCAAUCCACAGUAGCCAUUUGCUGCAUUAAGGUGCUUAAGGGCUUUCCCCAAAUUUGUUUUAUGGGUACCAAUGAUAUUUUCAACAUGAAGAAAAGGUGCUAAUUAUGUCUUGGCUGUUACUGUAGAAAAUAUUUUGACAAGAGUUAAGGUAAUUGUGAGCAUGGGACUGGAACAGGAGGAAAGUAGUGCAUUGACCUUCUUGGCAUUUUGUUCCACACAGCCUUGUUCUGUUGAUAUUCCAGAACUGUAUUUUCAGACUGAAAUCCCAAAGAUGGUAUCAGAGUCUAGCUUUAAAAUGUCAUGCUCAUGAAACUCUAGUCCUAGGACAUAACUGAAAUACUGAAAGCAGCACACUAUUUUUAAAUAAUUCGUAUUUUGUAAAGAUUAUUUGUAAUGCAGACUCCUUUUAAAGGAAAAACAAUUCAUUCAGAUCCCACCAGCACAAAUACUUUAAUUAGACAAAAUCUUCAAGUUAUUUCCUCUCACAAAAGGAGGUAUUGUUGGGCCAUCUGGACUCUCUAUUGAGUUUUUAUGAAAGAUCACAGCUUGAAUUUAAUCAACCCCAAUAAAGUUAACCCCAUAAAGCUAAAAAAUAAUUGCAAGAAUUGCUAACUGAAGGAUUUGAAUUCUCUGUUUGAGAUUGUUACCACUGUCAUUUGUAAAUCAUUACAAUGGGAAACAGGAACUUGUAUUGCUUGACUAUUUAACCUCAUGAACAUAAUUUUUGUGAAUUUCCCACUCUAUUUAGACCAAAUUUAGAUUGUGAGUCUCUCUACAUAGGAAUAACAAAAUGAAUGUUUGGCUCUAUAUAAUAACUAGAAGAUCAUUAGUAGAAAGUUCAAUAA
rnacentral:lncRNA from 10 species